rnacentral:rRNA from 1 species
GCUAAACGCGAAGAACCUUACCAGCCCUUGACGUGCCAGGACGAUUUCCAGAGAUGGAUUUCUUCACUUCGGUGACCUGGACACAGGUGCUGCAUGGCUGUCGUCAGCUCGUGUCGUGAGAUGUUGGGUUAAGUCCCGCAACGAGCGCAACCCUCGCCGUUUAGUUGCCAUCAUUCAGUUGGGCACUCUAGAGGGACGUGCCGGUGAUAAGCCGGAGGAAGGUGGGGAGUGACGUCAAGUCAUCAUGGCCCUUAUGGGCUGGGCUACACACGUGCUACAAUGGCGGUGACAGAGGGCAGCUAGACCGCGAGGUCAUGCUAAUCCCUAAAAGCCGUCUCAGUUCGGAUUGCACUCUGCAACUCGAGUG